AUGAGAAAAUAAACGAGCAGCGAGAAAAUGAUACAGGAUGAGCAGAUGAGUGUCGGCCAAUCAGAUUCAUGUUUGUUUGAAUAGAGCUCAACAGUUUGGUUCCAGAAGUAAAAGUCCUGUUUGUUUCCUCUAUAGUGGAUUUAAUUACCGUAUUGGUCCGAAUAUAAGACGGCCUUUUUCCCCAUCGAAAUAGGUCCGAAAAAGUCGGGUCGUCUUAUAUUCGGGGUCUAGUAUUCAGAGCGCAGCUCUAAUUGUUCGCCUGUCCCUUUAAAUGUCAAUACACAUGACGCGCUCUGGGAGGAGCAGGGGAGUGAUGACAGCGAGAGCGAACACAGCGGGGCGGAGGACGAAUAGAGAGGAGACAUCGGAGGAGAAGUUUGGCGAGUUUUAGUUUAGCGGUAGUUUAAUUAAAAAUGUUGCCUGUAUUUCCUGUUAUUUAAAAAUGUUAAAAACAUGUUGAUAAUAUUGCUUGAUUGUUAAUCGAUUUUAAUUUUGAAUCAUACGGUACAUAGUUCGCCCUUGUGAAACACUUUGUUUUGAAAAGUGCUGUAGGCCUAUACCGAUAAAUACGGUAUGUUAAUUAUUAUUAUAAUUAUUAAUACAACAGGUUUCAUUCAAUGUGUUUUUAAUAUUGUUAUUUUCAAAUAAAAUUAAGUUCUUUAAAAAAAGUUCUUUAUAAAAACAA